rnacentral:rRNA from 1 species
AUUGAACGCUGGCGGCAGGCCUAACACAUGCAAGUCGAACGGCAGCACAGAAGAGCUUGCUCUUUGGGUGGCGAGUGGCGGACGGGUGAGUAAUGUCUGGGAAACUGCCCGAUGGAGGGGGAUAACUACUGGAAACGGUAGCUAAUACCGCAUAACGUCGCGAGACCAAAGUGGGGGACCUUCGGGCCGCACACCAUCGGAUGUGCCCAGAUGGGAAUAGCGAGUAGGUGGGGUAAUGGGCCACCUAGGCGACGAUCCCUAGCUGGUCUGAGAGGAUGACCAGCCACACUGGAACUGAGACACGGUCCAGACUCCUACGGGAGGCAGCAGUGGGGAAUAUUGCACAAUGGGCGCAAGCCUGAUGCAGCCAUGCCGCGUGUAUGAAGAAGGCCUUCGGGUUGUAAAGUACUUUCAGCGGGGAGGAAGGCGGUGAGGUUAAUAACCUUGCCGAUUGACGUUACCCGCAGAAGAAGCACCGGCUAACUCCGUGCCAGCCGCCGCCGUAA